AGUAUUGCACAGAUUCCUCACAUUGUCACACUAAUGUGCCUCCUUCCUGACCUGGAGUGGCCACCUCUAAGUGUCUCCGGAUUGUUCACUCUCCAUGCCUAUUCAGCCCUUGGCUUCUUGGCUGAAACUGCCCUUGAAGAAGAUGCAUAUUUGAUGAUGACCAAGGCUGGCUUCAAUCUCUGCUGGCUGGCAGGUAAUGAGAGCUCUGUGGAGGCAGCACAAUCAGCCCCUGUAGAGGAAAGAACUCCUCACAUUGCUCAAAGGCAGCCAAUUAAGGAGCAGCGCAGAUGGAUUCCAAAGUGACAGACCUGCGGGUGGCUAUAUUACAACAGAAAAACUUCAAAAACAGACUCCAACGAGAGACUGCUGAGCUGGAAUUGAUAUGCAAACUAGACACAAUCAACUCCGGUUUGAAUAAGGACUGGGAAUGGCUGAACCAUUACAAACAUUGAAUCUAUCUCCCCUUAGCAGUUCCAGUGUGGUUUGGAGCCAGACAACCCACACUAGCCUACUGGCACUUUCCUGGAGGAAUAACGCUCAGAAUGAGAAAAUAGUGCUCUUGCCUAGAACCGCCUCAUCUUAAAUUCCCAGCUGAGAAAGCCCAUGAAUAUGCCAUUUGUAUCAGGGGUGGUUUUUUGUUUGUUUGUUUUUAAUCCUGUCUAUGAGAAUUGGACUAGGAUCAUUUCACAUAGGCCACUGGACAGCUAUCUG